GACGUAGGGCGCGAGCGUUGUCCGGAUUUAUUGGGCGUAAAGAGCUCGUAGGCGGCUUGUCGCGUCGACUGUGAAAACCCGAGGCUCAACUUCGGGCUUGCAGUCGAUACGGGCAGGCUAGAGUUCGGUAGGGGAGACUGGAAUUCCUGGUGUAGCGGUGAAAUGCGCAGAUAUCAGGAGGAACACCGAUGGCGAAGGCGGCUCUCUGGGACGGUACUGACGCUGAGACGCGAAAGCGUGGGGAGCGAACAGG
rnacentral:rRNA from 1 species